GACGAACGCUGGCGGCGUGCUUAACACAUGCAAGUCGAACGAUGAAGCCCUUUCGGGGGUGGAUUAGUGGCGAACGGGUGAGUAACACGUGGGUAACCUGCCCUGUACCCUCGGGAUAAGACCUUGGAAACGAAGGUCUAAUACCGGAUAUGACCUGCUCUCGCAUGGGGGUGGGGUGGAAAGUUUUGGUCGGUGCAGGAUGGACCCGCGGCCUAUCAGCUUGUUGGUGGGGUGAUGGCCUACCAAGGCGACGACGGGUAGCCGGCCUGAGAGGGCGACCGG
rnacentral:rRNA from 1 species